UACGUAGGAUGCAAGCGUUGUUCGGAAUUACUGGGCGUAAAGAGUACGUAGGCGGUUUGAUAAGUCUGCUAUUAAAGACUGGAGCUUAACUCCAGGACUGUAGUGGAAACUGUCAGACUAGAGGACAAUAGAGGAAGUGGGAAUUCUCAGUGUAGCGGUGAAAUGCGUAGAUAUUCGGAAGAACACCAGUGGCGAAGGCGACUUACUGGACGAUUGUUGACGCUGAGGUGCGAAAGCGUGGGGAGCAAACAGG
rnacentral:rRNA from 1 species